rnacentral:lncRNA from 1 species
UGUCAUGUGUCACCAUCUUUAUUGAUAAGAGCUAGGGGCAGAAGCAGCAAAGGAUUUCCUAAACUGCCUCCUGCUCCCCUUGCAACACAUUGCUCACUGCCCAGGAGUCAGGAAAGUAGGGGCGGCUAGAGUGCCAGGGGCAAUUUCUCCGUCUGACCCCUCGGUCCUUUUCAGAGGAGCUCCACACUUCCCCACCAGAGCUGGACCUCAGGCCUGCAGCCUCUACAUGAGUUUGUUUUUAUGUCCUUCUUUCCCCUCUGAGGAUGACUGUCUGUCUCCUCGGUAUGGCUGCUUCUGUCCCCAAAUCCCAGGAGGCAGGCAGGCUGGGGCAUCCACCAUUUUAUGACAGAGAAAUGGAGGCCCAGAGAGGUCAAAGCUGGUCAAGGGUCCUGAGGUGAGUUGAAGACCCAAGUCUCCAAAAUUCUGGUUCUUAUGCUUUCCCUGAGGACCCCCUCCCCUCAGAGAGGUGGGGGUGGAGUGGGGGAUUAGCGUGGCCAGAAGUACCCUCUGCCCCAGGGCCACCUCACCUGUGGCUCUAAGGAGUCAUCUCAGCAAGGUGUCCCGGCCAGCCUUGGACAGUGCACCCCAUGGUCCUACUGAAGCCCCUGGGAGUGUAGAGGGUGGGGGGAUGGAAGGCCCUGAUACCCCCACGUGAGAGGCUCACCCUCCCAAUGUCCAGUACCCGGAUCUCUGUCAAGGCCACACUGGCCUUACCAGCACAACAGGGACUGGCCCUGUACCCUUAGGAUACAUUUGCUUCCCCUGUCACAUCCUUUUCUAGAGACAAGUUGGGCAGGGCAUCAGUCAGCCCUGGUCCUUGGAUACAGCAAUUGAGUUCAGCUCAGUGGGGCCAGGGUUAGCUCCAAGGUCAUUAAAGACAUCGGUCCUCCCCCCUCCUCCUUUUCCCUUUCCUCCUUUUUCCUCCUCCUGCUUACUUCUUCCUCUUCCUCUGUCCCUCACUCUGCUCUUUAGACACUGCCUUUCCGUGUCUGCCUGCAGAUGCCAGCCCCGACCUGGUCUCAGGAGUGGGGAGGAUACAGGUUGCAGGAGAGGGACAGG